rnacentral:rRNA from 1 species
CACGUAGGGCGCAAGCGUUGUCCGGAAUUAUUGGGCGUAAAGAGCUCGUAGGCGGCUUGUCGCGUCGACUGUGAAAACCCGCGGCUCAACCGCGGGCCUGCAUUCGAUACGGGCAGGCUAGAGUUCGGUAGGGGAGACUGGAAUUCCUGGUGUAGCGGUGAAAUGCGCAGAUAUCAGGAAGAACACCCGUGGCGAAGGCGGCUCUCUGGGACGGUACUGACGCUGAGACGCGAAAGCGUGGGGAGCGAACAGG